GACGAACGCUGGCGGCGUGCCUAACACAUGCGAGUCGAGCGGUAAGGCCCUUUCGGGGGUACCCGAGCGGCGAACGGGUGAGUAACACGUGAGCAAUCUGCCCCUGUCUCUGGGAUAAACACUGGAAACGGUGGCUAAUUCCGGAUAUGAACUCCUUCUGCAUGGUUGGUGGUGGCAAAGUCUGCUGGACAGGGAUGAGCCCGCGGCCUAUCAGCUUGUUGGUGGGGUAAUGGCCUACCAAGGCGACGACGGGUAGCCGGCCUGAGAGGGUGACCGGCCACCCUAGUACUGCGAGACGGCGCAGACUCCUACGGUAGGCAACGGGGGCGAAUAUGAGACAAUAAUCGAGAGCCUGAGCCGACAACGCCGCGGGAGGAAAGACGGCCUGCGGGUAGUAAACCUCUGUCAGCUAAGACGAGGCGAGAGUGACGGUACCUGCAGAAGAAGGACCGGCCAACUACGUG
rnacentral:rRNA from 1 species